rnacentral:rRNA from 1 species
GACGAACGCUGGCGGCGUGCUUAACACAUGCAAGUCGAGCGGUAAGGCCCUUUCGGGGGUACACGAGCGGCGAACGGGUGAGUAACACGUGGGUGACCUGCCCUCAGCUCUGGGAUAAGCCUGGGAAACCGGGUCUAAUACUGGAUAUGACUCCAUGACGCAUGUUGUGGGGUGGAAAGCCUUGUGCGGCUGAGGAUGGGCCCGCGGCCUAUCAGCUUGUUGGGG